rnacentral:misc_RNA from 1 species
GAUGAAGAACGUAGCGAAAUGCGAUAAGUAAUGUGAAUUGCAGAAUUCAGUGAAUCAUCGAAUCUUUGAACGCACAUUGCGCCCCCUGGUAUUCCGGGGGGCAUGCCUGUCCGAGCGUCAUUACAACCCUCAAGCUCAGCUUGGUGUUGGGCCCCGCCGCCCCGGCGGGCCCUAAAGUCAGUGGCGGUGCCGUCCGGCUCCGAGCGUAGUAAUUCUUCUCGCUCUGGCGGUCCGGUCGUGUGCUCGCCAGCAACCCCCAAUUUUUUUCAGGUUGACCUCGGAUCAGGCAGGGAUACCCGCUGAACUUAAGCAUAUCAAGAAGCGGAGGA